AUUGAACGCUGGCGGCAGGCCUAAUACAUGCAAGUAGGACGCAGUUGCGAACGGGUGAGUAACGCGUAGGUCACUGCAUAUUAGAGGGGUAUAACUAUUGGAAACAUUAGCUAAUACCGCAUACUAGUAGAUGGACCUGCGUUGUAUUAGCUAGUAGGUAGGGUAAUGGCCUACCUAGGCGACGAUACAUAGCCGACCGGAGAGGGGGAUGGGCCACACUGGGACUGAGACACGGCCCAGAAGCCUACGGGAGGCAGCAGAAGGGAAUCUUCGGCAAUGGGGGGAGACCUGACCGAGAAACGCCGCGUGAGUGAAGAAGGUUUUCGGAUCGUAAAGCUCUGUUGUUAAGGAAGCGGUACUUAACCAGAAAGGGACGGCUAACUACGUGCCAGCAGCCGCGGUAAUAC
rnacentral:rRNA from 1 species